rnacentral:rRNA from 1 species
CCUACGGGAGGCAGCAGUAACGAAUCUUCCGCAAUGCGCGAAAGCGUGACGGAGCAAUGCCGCGUGCAGGAUGAAGCCUUUCGGGGUGUAAACUGCUGUCAGGGUGUAGGAACACAAUGACCAUACCCAGAGGAGGGGCCGGCUAACUUCGUGCCAGCAGCCGCGGU